rnacentral:sRNA from 1 species
GUCGGGGCCCGGCAUGGCGGGGGCCGGGGCCAAGCCGGGCCGGACCCGGACCUAAAUGCCUCUGUUCUUCUCCGCGCUGUUGGUCUUGCUGCUAGUUGCGCUUAGCGCCCUCUUUCUAGGCCGGUGGCUUGUGGUCCGGUUGGCCACCAAGUGGUGUCAGCGGAAGCUGCAGGCGGAGCUAAAGAUUGGCUCCUUCCGCUUUUUUUGGAUCCAGAAUGUCAGUCUUAAGUUUCAGCAACACCAGCAAACAGUGGAAAUUGAUAACCUGUGGAUUUCCAGCAAACUCCUUAGCCAUGAUCUUCCGUGAGUACCCUAUAUUCUCACUUCUCCCCUAGAAGAGUACUUUGGAGUUGGUGUUUGCAGAGUGACACUCUUCUGCAGAGGCAUCACAAUCCAAGGAGGAAGGGAGGUUGUUGCUGAAGUCUUCCUGUUAGCCUGGGUGCCAUUGUGUUGUGAGGAAGAUAUUGAUAACUGCUAUGAAACUAAUCUCUGUGAUUUGAGCUAUAUUUCUAGGAAGGAUGAGAAAGUGAAUGUGAGGGUGGGGAAUAGACUGCUAUGGGAGGGAUGGACCUGGUGGCAGUGAGAUUUCUCUUCUGGGCAGACACUAUGUGGCAUUGUGCUUUGGAGAAGUGCGUAUCAGAACGGACCUACAGAAAGUUUCUGGCCUGUCUGCCCCAUUCUCCCAGAGCGCUGGGGUGGAUCAAAAGGAACUGUCCUUCAGCCCAUCGUUAUUGAAGAUCUUCUGCCAACUAUUCUCCAUUCAUGUAGAUGCUAUAAACAUCAUGGUUCUCAAGGUGGAUACCUCUGAGUCCUUAUGGCAUAUUCAGAUCAGUAGAAGCAGAUUUCUUUUGGAUAGUGAUGGGAAAAGGCUAAUCUGUGAGGUGAGCUUAUGUAAGAUCAACAGCAAAGUUCUAAAGAGCGGUCAGCUGGAGGACACCUGCCUAGUGGAGCUUUCACUGGCCCUGGACCUGUGUCUAAAGGUGGGCAUUAGCAGUCGGCAUCUCACUGCUAUCACUGUGGAUGUGUGGACACUCCAUGCUGAACUGCAUGAGGGCCUCUUCCAGAGCCAACUGCUGUGCCAGGGCCCAAGCCUAGCAUCUAAGCCUGUUCCCUGUUCAGAGGUGACAGAAAACUUAGUUGAGCCAACUCUGCCUGGCCUUUUCCUUCUCCAGCAGCUGCCAGACCAGGUCAAGGUUAAGAUGGAGAACACAAGCGUGGUAUUGUCCAUGAAUAGUCAAAAGAGGCACCUGACUUGGACUCUGAAGCUGCUGCAGUUCCUGUACCACCGUGAUGAGGAUCAGCUGCCCCUUCGAAGCUUCACAGCAAACUCUGAUAUGGCACAGAUGAGCACGGAACUGCUGCUGGAAGGUUCAUGGGUCGGGGUACUGGUACUGAGCGAGAAUGGGAGGACUAGAUACUCUCUUUGCUCAUGCCCCAUAUGGUCUCCUUAAUCUAAUCUCAGUGUAACUGGGGAGUGGAAGGAGGGAACAUACUGAGAGAAAAUAGCCCCAGCUCACAAGUUUUGAUGACAGUCUGUUUAUCCCUUUGCCGGCUUCUGACCCUCUCCCAGUUUUACCUCUUGCCCUUCCAGUGCUGUCCUCUGAUCUGUCCUCUGGCCUCUUACAGAUGGGUUGUUGUUGUCCCAGAGUCGCCAACGCAUUGUCUGCCUCAACUCCCUCAAGGCUAGUGUGCAGGUGACCACCAUUGAUCUCUCAGCCUCCCUAGUUCUGAACACUUGCAUCAUUCACUACCGGCACCAGGAAUUCUCUCACUGGCUGCACCUGCUAGCACUGGAAACCCAAGGGUCUAAUUCACCUGUUCUAAAGCAAAGGAAAAAAA